rnacentral:rRNA from 1 species
AGUGAACGCUGGCGGUAGGCCUAACACAUGCAAGUCGAACGGCAGCACAGUAAGAGCUUGCUCUUACGGGUGGCGAGUGGCGGACGGGUGAGGAAUACAUCGGAAUCUACUUUUUCGUGGGGGAUAACGUAGGGAAACUUACGCCAAUACCGCAUACGACGUACGGGUGAAAGCAGGGGAUCUUCGGACCUUGCGCGAUUGAAUGAGCCGAUGUCGGAUUAGCUAGUUGGCGGGGUAAAGGCCCACCAAGGCGACGAUCCGUAGCUGGUCUGAGAGGAUGAUCAGCCACACUGGAACUGAGACACGGUCCAGACUCCUACGGGAGGCAGCAGUGGGGAAUAUUGGACAAUGGGCGCAAGCCUGAUCCAGCCAUACCGCGUGGGUGAAGAAGGCCUUCGGGUUGUAAAGCCCUUUUGUUGGGAAAGAAAAGCAGCAGGUUAAUACCCCGCUGUUCUGACGUUACCCAAAGAAUAAGCACCGGCUAACUUCGUG